CACGUUAUAAAACCUAAUUCACCAAGACUCACUAUUUAUUUAGUCUUUAUUACUACCAAGUCCACCUUCAUAAAUUGAUUACACAACUUAAUUUGAUAUAAACAUUACAAAUUGUAGCUCACUAUAGCCUUUUUCAUUAGCUGCAUUUUGACUUGACAUUAUAACUUACAUAUUAUUAAGUUUUUUAAAAAGUUUUUACAAAAUAAACUGACGACAGCAAUACACAAACUGUUAUAAAUUCAAGAAAAAGUAAGUAUAAAUUGAGGAUUAUCAAAUUAACAAGCAAGCUCCCCUGGGAGGAUAUAUAACACCGCCAAGCCUUUUAAGUUUUAAACAAUCAUAAGAAAUUAUAUAAUUACCCUGUCCGUACUACCUAAGUAAACAAAAAUUUUAAAAUAAAGAA
rnacentral:rRNA from 1 species